UACGGAGGAUGCGAGCGUUAUCCGGAUUUAUUGGGUUUAAAGGGUGCGUAGGCGGCGAGUUAAGUCAGCGGUAAAAGCCCGGGGCUCAACCCCGGCGAGCCGUUGAAACUGCCGUGCUAGAGAGGAAGAGAAGUAGGCGGAAUGCGCAGUGUAGCGGUGAAAUGCUUAGAUAUCGCGCAGAACCCCGAUUGCGAAGGCAGCAUACCGGUGCACAACUGACGCUCAGGCACGAAAGCGUGGGUAUCGAACAGG
rnacentral:rRNA from 1 species